GGCGUAAAGGGCAUGUAGGCGGUUAUGUAAGCCUGAUGUGAAAUCUACGAGCUUAACUCGUAAACUGCAUUGGGUACUGCGUAACUUGAAUCACGGAGGGGAAACCGGAAUUCCAAGUGUAGGGGUGGAAUCUGUAGAUAUUUGGAAGAACACCGGUGGCGAAGGCGGGUUUCUGGCCGAUGAUUGACGCUGAGAUGCGAAGGUGCGGGGAGCAAACAGGAUUAGAUACCCUGGUAGUCCGCACAGUAAACAAUGUACACUAGGCGUUGGAGCAAGAGCUUCAGUGCCGACGCAAACGCAUUAAGUGUACCGCCUGGGAAGUAUGCCCGCAAGGGUGAAACUCAAAGGAAUUGACGGGGGCCCACACAAGCGGU
rnacentral:rRNA from 1 species